rnacentral:lncRNA from 1 species
UUGAUACCGGCCAGCAACUGCUUUAAUGGAUGGAAAUACAGAUCCAUAGGAACGCACACACAAGCAGGUAUGCGCAUUCUAAGUAAAUAAAUUUUCUAUAUUUUCAUUCAUAUCAAACGCAAAAAGCUGUAACGAAGUACUUAGAGCCCGCCGCAACUCUCACGGCUCGUUUUGGCUUUGUUCGGACGCACGGUAGAGUUG